rnacentral:rRNA from 1 species
AGCGAACGCUGGCGGCAGGCUUAACACAUGCAAGUCGAACGGGCGUAGCAAUACGUCAGUGGCAGACGGGUGAGUAACGCGUGGGAACGUACCUUUUGGUUCGGAACAACCCAGGGAAACUUGGGCUAAUACCGGAUAAGCCCUUACGGGGAAAGAUUUAUCGCCGAAAGAUCGGCCCGCGUCUGAUUAGCUAGUUGGUGUGGUAACGGCGCACCAAGGCGACGAUCAGUAGCUGGUCUGAGAGGAUGAUCAGCCACAUUGGGACUGAGACACGGCCCAAACUCCUACGGGAGGCAGCAGGUGGGGAAUAUUGGACAAUGGGCGCAAGCCUGAUCCAGCCAUGCCGCGUGAGUGAUGAAGGCCCUAGGGUUGUAAAGCUCUUUUGUGCGGGAAGAUAAUGACGUACCGCAAGAAUAAGCCCCGGCUAACUUCGUGCCAGCAG